rnacentral:rRNA from 1 species
AGUCUGCAACUCGACUACAUGAAGCUGGAAUCGCUAGUAAUCGCGAAUCAGAAUGUCGCGGUGAAUACGUUCCCGGGUCUUGUACACACCGCCCGUCACACCAUGGGAGUCGGGAAUGCCCGAAGUCAGUGACCCAACCGAAAGGGGGGAGCUGCCGAAGGCAGGCCUGGUAACUGGGGUGAAGUCGUAACAAGGUAAC